AGGCUGCUGAGAGAGCACUGUGUAAUGUGAGAUCAAUGCUUGGUCAACCUCUGCAUAAGCGACAAGGAUCUCCACGAUCAUUUGCCGGGAUGUCAAACAAGCGUUUAAAGCCAGACUUUCAACGGUCUCUGCAACGGAUGCCAUCUUCAGGAAGAUACUCUUAAAAUAGAACCAUAUGAAGAACAAAGCACAUUCUCUACAUCAUUUCUCCAUUCUCUUGGUAAAAACAGCUACCAAGACGAAUUCUUUGCCAAGUUCCUUUCUUUGCAAAACGACGAACCAGGCUUGCUCUCUUGUUUCUCUUGUUAUAACAACAGUUGGGGCUGGAUCACGAUUUUGUAUCAUAAGAAACUCUUGAGUUGAAGCAACAGCUCGAGGGACUACAGAGAAAGACCUAAGCAUGAACAUUUGGCUUGUUCUGAGGCUGUUAAUACUCAAGUAGAAAUUAGUAAAGUUGGUUAAUAGUUUCAUAAAGCUUUUUCUGCAGUUUCACAGUUGACAUAGUCCCUGUUUGCACUGAGACAUUAAGUUUAUAAUUUUUGUAAUUUCUGUUGUUAACUGUUUAGUUUUU